rnacentral:rRNA from 1 species
GGAGCAUGUGGCUUAAUUUGACUCAACGCGGGAAAUCUUACCGGGUCCGGACACACUGAGGAUUGACAGGUAUUAUAUAGCACGCACUUCGGUGUGUGUCUAUUGUUAAAUAUGCUAGUCCUUUCAUGAUUAUGUGAUAGGUGGUGCAUGGCCGUUCUUAGUUCGUGGAGUGAUCUGUCUGCUUAAUUGCGUUUCAGAUAAGGAUCUAUAUUCUUUACGUGAGUGAUUGCAGACCCCUUUCUCACGAGAGUGUGUGUCUCGCAUGAUCUCUCUACAUUAGGUCCUGAAAGCAACGAACGUGACCGCAACCUCUUGUUGCCUCAUCUCCCCAUACCAACUAGGUAGUUUCGGCUACUUAACGUAUCAUUGAGGCUUUCCAAAACUAGAGGGACCGCUGUCAACUUCUUAAACCAGAGGAAGGUUGCGGCAAUAACAGGUC